rnacentral:rRNA from 1 species
AUUGUCAAUCAUGAAACAUUACAACCAAUAUCGCGACAGCUAGCUCUCUCAUGGUCAUCCAAUAAAGCUAAGCAGGACUUUGCCUGGUCAGUACCAAGAUGGGAGACCACAUGGGAAAGCUAGGUUGCUGCUAAAA